GAUGAACGCUGGCGGCGUGCCUAAUACAUGCAAGUCGAGCGAACGGACGAGAAGCUUGCUUCUCUGAUGUUAGCGGCGGACGGGUGAGUAACACGUGGAUAACCUACCCAUAAGACUGGGAUAACUUCGGGAAACCGGGGCUAAUACCGGAUAAUAUUUUGAACCGCAUGGUUCAAAAGUGAAAGACGGUCUUGCUGUCACUUAUGGAUGGAUCCGCGCUGCAUUAGCUAGUUGGUAAGGUAACGGCUUACCAAGGCAACGAUGCAUAGCCGACCUGAGAGGGUGAUCGGCCACACUGGAACUGAGACACGGUCCAGACUCCUACGGGAGGCAGCAGUAGGGAAUCUUCCGCAAUGGGCGAAAGCCUGACGGAGCAACGCCGCGUGAGUGAUGAAGGUCUUCGGAUCGUAAAACUCUGUUAUUAGGGAAGAACAUAUGUGUAAGUAACUGUGCACAUCUUGACGGUACCUAAUCAGAAAGCCACGGCUAACUACGUGCCAGCAGCCGCGGUAAUACGUAGGUGGCAAGCGUUAUCCGGAAUUAUUGGGCGUAAAGCGCGCGUAGGCGGUUUUUUAAGUCUGAUGUGAAAGCCCACGGCUCAACCGUGGAGGGUCAUUGGAAACUGGAAAACUUGAGUGCAGAAGAGGAAAGUGGAAUUCCAUGUGUAGCGGUGAAAUGCGCAGAGAUAUGGAGGAACACUAGUGGCGAAGGCGACUUUCUGGUCUGUAACUGACGCUGAUGUGCGAAAGCGUGGGGAUCAAACAGGAUUAGAUACCCUGGUAGUCCACGCCGUAAACGAUGAGUGCUAAGUGUUAGGGGGUUUCCGCCCCUUAGUGCUGCAGCUAACGCAUUAAGCACUCCGCCUGGGGAGUACGACCGCAAGGUUGAAACUCAAAGGAAUUGACGGGGACCCGCACAAGCGGUGGAGCAUGUGGUUUAAUUCGAAGCAACGCGAAGAACCUUACCAAAUCUUGACAUCCUUUGACAACUCUAGAGAUAGAGCCUUCCCCUUCGGGGGACAAAGUGACAGGUGGUGCAUGGUUGUCGUCAGCUCGUGUCGUGAGAUGUUGGGUUAAGUCCCGCAACGAGCGCAACCCUUAAGCUUAGUUGCCAUCAUUAAGUUGGGCACUCUAAGUUGACUGCCGGUGACAAACCGGAGGAAGGUGGGGAUGACGUCAAAUCAUCAUGCCCCUUAUGAUUUGGGCUACACACGUGCUACAAUGGACAAUACAAAGGGCAGCGAAACCGCGAGGUCAAGCAAAUCCCAUAAAGUUGUUCUCAGUUCGGAUUGUAGUCUGCAACUCGACUACAUGAAGCUGGAAUCGCUAGUAAUCGUAGAUCAGCAUGCUACGGUGAAUACGUUCCCGGGUCU
rnacentral:rRNA from 1 species